rnacentral:rRNA from 1 species
AUGAACUUCCUCUCCCCUAACCUAAAUGGUUUUCUAUGUUAUAUCCUUUCAUGGAUAUCAUGCCCUGCUUGCCCUUGGGUUAUAUCCUCAAAUAUGUGUUCAAACACAUUUUCCUUUCCAUUGUUCUGUUUAAUUUCAUAA